AAAUUGAAGAGUUUGAUCAUGGCUCAGAUUGAACGCUGGCGGCAGGCCUAACACAUGCAAGUCGAACGGUAACAGGAAGCAGCUUGCUGCUUUGCUGACGAGUGGCGGACGGGUGAGUAAUGUCUGGGAAACUGCCUGAUGGAGGGGGAUAACUACUGGAAACGGUGGCUAAUACCGCAUAACGUCGCAAGACCAAAGAGGGGGACCUUCGGGCCUCUUGCCAUCAGAUGUGCCCAGAUGGGAUUAGCUUGUUGGUGAGGUAACGGCUCACCAAGGCGACGAUCCCUAGCUGGUCUGAGAGGAUGACCAGCCACACUGGAACUGAGACACGGUCCAGACUCCUACGGGAGGCAGCAGUGGGGAAUAUUGCACAAUGGGCGCAAGCCUGAUGCAGCCAUGCCGCGUGUAUGAAGAAGGCCUUCGGGUUGUAAAGUACUUUCAGCGGGGAGGAAGGUGUUGUGGUUAAUAACCGCAGCAAUUGACGUUACCCGCAGAAGAAGCACCGGCUAACUCCGUGCCAGCAGCCGCGGUAAUACGGAGGGUGCAAGCGUUAAUCGGAAUUACUGGGCGUAAAGCGCACGCAGGCGGUCUGUCAAGUCGGAUGUGAAAUCCCCGGGCUCAACCUGGGAACUGCAUUCGAAACUGGCAGGCUUGAGUCUUGUAGAGGGGGGUAGAAUUCCAGGUGUAGCGGUGAAAUGCGUAGAGAUCUGGAGG
rnacentral:rRNA from 2 species